rnacentral:rRNA from 1 species
UAGGGAAUCUUCCACAAUGGGCGCAAGCCUGGUGGAGCGACACCGCGUGAGUGAAGAAGGGUUUCGGCUCGUAAAGCUCUGUUGUUAAAGAAGAACACGUAUGAGAGUAACUGUUCAUACGUUGACGGUAUUUAACCAGAAAGUCACGGCUAACUACGUGCC